rnacentral:rRNA from 1 species
AUACGGAGGGUGCAAGCGUUAUCCGGAAUCAUUGGGUUUAAAGGGUCCGUAGGCGGACUAUUAAGUCAGAGGUGAAAUCCCACAGCUCAACUGUGGAACUGCCUUUGAUACUGGUAGUCUUGAGUUAUAUGGAAGUAGAUAGAAUGUGUAGUGUAGCGGUGAAGUGCAUAGAUAUUACACAGAAUACCGAUUGCGAAGGCAGUCUACUACGUAUAUACUGACGCUAAGGGACGAAAGCGUGGGGAGCGAACAGGAUUAGAAACCCGGGUAGUCC